CUCCCAGAGGCUGUGGCUGGGCGGUGCACCACUGGCCACUGUCCCUGCACAUUUGUCUUGCCCCUCAGCUGCACCGUGAGCGGCAUUACAGGUCAACUGUGCCAUGGGACCCUCUUUGGGAAUUCAGACAUCAGCUUCUAGCUGGGUCAGCUGAGGACACGUGGAGGCCUGCGGUGUCUCCCUGCACCUUCCCAGGGAGGAGGGGCCUCAGGAGCUGCCUCUGACAGCCUGGGAAUUUGUCUCCUGGGUUUCCAACUCUGCUGUCUUUACUCUUUCUCUGGCCUCUUAACAAUCCCAUUUGGCCAAGACAGGUGAGUCAGAAGUCCCCAUAGACCUGCGGCAAGCAGCAAUCAUGCUCUGAGUCAUGUGCUGUUCAACACGCCUCUCACCCAGAGGUCUUACCUCUUACCAUGCAGAGCCCAAGCUGGUUUCCAACUAUGCCUCUUCCAGCAGGACAGAACUCGCCUUGCCAAGGUGUCGGGACAAGGCGGGGGUCAGGGAGCAUGUUCUCACCAGACAUGGAGCCUUGCUAUGUUGCCCAGGCUGGUCUUGAACUCCUGGAGUCAAGUGAUCCUCCCUUCUUGGCCUCCCAAAGCACUGGGAUUACAGAUGUGAGCCACUACGCCCAGCCUCAGACUUAAUUCUUGUUUUGUAGCAUGCAGUAUGUGUGUGUGUGCAUGUGUGCAUGUGCAUUUGCGUGUGCAUGUGUGUGAAUCUGUGUGUGUGCAUGUGUGAGCGUGCAUGUGAAUCUGUGUGUGUGCAUUGUGCAUUUGUGUGUGAAUCUGUGUGUGU
rnacentral:lncRNA from 10 species